rnacentral:rRNA from 1 species
AUGGAGAAGAAACCCGAAGUCGUCGCCGACUACGCCGGUGCUAAGAAGAAACCUGAUGUCGCCCGCGACAAUGUUGUUGUAGAGAAGAAUCCGGUAAGCUCCUCUGGCUAUGCCGACAUGGAGAAGAAACCUGAAGGUGCCACCAAGGCCGCCGGGAAGAAGAAAUCCGAGGUUGCCUCCGAGAAGAAAUCCAAAAAAAAGAGCGAGCCCUCCCAAUCUUCCACAACCGAGAAGAAACCCAAAGGGAAAAACGACCAUGGUACCGAGAAGAAGUCGAAAGGCAAGAAGGACGCCUCUGGAUACACCGGUGCAGAGAAGAAACGAAAAGCAAAAGUAGAUUCCCCCAAGAAGGCUGGGGCCAAGAAGAAACCAGAGAUGCUAAAGAAGGAAGAGCCUAAGAAGAAUGACAAGCCCAAGUCGUCGGCGCCGGCCACAACUGAUACUUACGUCGCACCGAAGGAAGAGAUGAAGAAGCCAGAAGCUGCCACGCCCGAUACCUACACCGCACCAAAGGUGGAACCAAAGAAGGAGGAGCCAAAGGUACCAGCAGCCGACACCACCGAUAGAUAUGCCGCGCCAAAGAAGGCCCAACCGGAGACGUCGGCGGCUCCAACAUCUGAUAGCUACACCGUGUCGAAGAAUGCUCAGCCGGAGACACCGGUAGCUAGCACAACCGACAACUAUGCUGCGCCAAAGACUGCCAAGCCGGAGACGGAGGCGGCCAGCACAACCGACAGUUAUGCUGCGCCGAAGACUUCCCAGCCAGAGACACCAGCGGCCGAAACAACCGAUGCCUAUGCUGCGCCGAGACCGAGGCCGUGGAACAAGAAGAUUGGCCAUUUGCCCCCGCCGCACGUGUAA